rnacentral:lncRNA from 1 species
UUGUAAUAUUUCUUGCAGCUACUUUAUGCCAUUGCCCUGGAAACUGAGAACUUCUCAAGCCUUUAAGAAAGUUAUAUUUGAUAGCACCAAGCAACACACAGCAGCAGCAGCAGCAGCAUACUUUCUGAAAUUCCUUCCUACAGUGAUGAAGAAUUUCAAACUUUUUCCUCAAGAGGACAAGACCAAGAAUCACAAGCAUCCUGGCAGGCUAAUAAGCUGGGGCUACUUAUACCAAUUAUCUGUCUACCAUGUACUUCAUGGGUUGAGAAGAACCAGAUUCUGCUUUAAUAAAAAUUGUACUAAAUGGUAUGUGAAAUCCUGGAGCUCUUGGAAUAGUAAAAGGGCAUUAGUGGAAAAACUGGUGAUUCAAAUAAUCUGUAGUUUAGUUAAUAGUGCUGUACCAAUGUCUGUUUCUUAGUUUUGACAAAUGCACCGCGGUUCUGUCAAUAAUAACAUCAGGGGAAACUGGGUGAAGGCUAUAAAGGAAUUGUCUGUACUCUCUUUGCAACUUUUCUGGAAGUCUAGAAUUAUACCAAAUUAAAAUAAAGUAUUUAAAAACUCC